GUGAGGAAUUUUUCGCAAUGGACGAAAGUCUGACGAAGCGACGCCGCGUGGGUGAAGAAGGUUUUCGGAUCGUAAAGCCCUGUCAGGGGGAAAGAACCCCUGCCGUGUGAAUAAUGCGGCAGGCUGACGGUACCCCCAAAGGAAGCUCCGGCCAACUACGUGCCAGCAGCCGCGGUAAUACGUAGGGAGCAAGCGUUAUCCGGAAUCACUGGGCGUAAAGAGCUCGUAGGCUGUCGAGUAAGUCGAAUGUUAAAUACCCCGGCUCAACCGGGGGCCUGCGUUCGAUACUGCACGACUAGAGGACGGGAGAGGUAAGCGGAAUUCAUGGUGUAGCGGUGAAAUGCAUAGAUAUCAUGAAGAACACCAGUGGCGAAGGCGGCUUACUGGACCGUUCCUGACGCUGAGGAGCGAAAGCCAGGGGAGCAAACGGGAUUAGAAACCCGAGUAGUCC
rnacentral:rRNA from 1 species